rnacentral:ncRNA from 1 species
CUAAUUGUGCUAGUAGACAAAAGGCUCUUUUAAAAACAUCUUCCCGUAGACUCACCAGCCAUAAUGUUCACCAUACUUACAGGUUGUGAUGAAAAAUAAAAAUACAGGGCUCUUUUGAGACCUCAUAAUUGGAAUGAGUACACUCUAAAUGCUUUAAAGAGGAUCAAUUGGAGGGCAAGUCAGGUGCCAGCAGCUGCGGUAAUUCAAGCCCCAAUAGCGAAUAUGAAAGUUGUUGCAGUUAAAAAGCUCGUAAUUGGAUCUCAGUUCCAGACGGGCGGUCUGCGUACCGAAGGUUACUGUCUGUUCUGAGCAGCCAGCUGGUUUCCUUUGAUGAUUUUCAUCUGUUGUCUUGGGUGACCGACUAAUCCAUUUUGGAAAAAAUAGAGUGCUCAAAGCAGGCAUGACGCCUGAAUAAUAGUGCAUGGAAUAAUGGAAUAUGACCUCGGUUCUAUUUUCUUGGUUUUUUGGAAUAUGAGGUAAUGAUUAAGAGGGGCAGAUGGAGGCAUUCGCAUUGGAAUGCUAGAGGUGAAAUUCUUGGACUGUUGCAAUACAAACUACUGCAAAAGCAUUUGCCAAGAAUGUUUCCAUUAAUCAAGAACGAAAGUUAGAGGUUCGAAGGCGAUCAGAUACUGCCCUAGUUCUAUUAAAUCUA